UAAACGACUCUCGGCAACGGAUAUCUCGGCUCUCGCAUCGAUGAAGAACGUAGCGAAAUGCGAUACUUGGUGUGAAUUGCAGAAUCCCGUGAACCAUCGAGUCUUUGAACGCAAGUUGCGCCCGAAGCCAUCAGGUUGAGGGCACGUCUGCCUGGGCGUCACG
rnacentral:rRNA from 1 species